UUGCACGGCCACACCCGAGUUCGAGCGCCCUGUUUGUCUGAGCGCUAAGUGGGGUCGUGCCUGGUCAGUACUUGGAUGGGAGACCACUUUGGAAAACCAGCGGGUUGUGUCAG
rnacentral:rRNA from 12 species